CGCCUCUUGAAUUAAUAUAAGAGGUCCAGCCUGCCCAGUGACCCUGUUCAACGGCCGCGGUAUCCUAACCGUGCGAAGGUAGCGUAAUCACUUGUUCUUUAAAUGAGGACUAGUAUGAACGGCAUCACGAAGGUUAUACUGUCUCCUUUUUCUAAUCAGUGAACCUAAUCUCCCCGUGAAGAAGCGGGGAUAAAAUUAUAAGACGAGAAGACCCUAUGGAGCUUAAAACAAUACAGCACCUGCUAAAAAUUUAACAAAUUUCAGAAUUUUCCAUUUUCUAAGCACCAUGACUGUAAGUUUUUGGUUGGGGUGACCACGGAGCACAAAAUAACCUCCAUGUUGAAAGAAUUUUAUUCUAAGCCAAAAAUUACAAUUUUAAGCAUCAAUAAAUUGACAUCUAUUGACCCAAUAUACUUGAACAACGAACCAAGUUACCCUAGGGAUAACAGCGCAAUCCACUUCAAGAGCUCCUAUCGACAAGUGGGUUUACGACCUCGAUGUUGGAUCAGGGUUUCCAGUGGUGCAGCCGC
rnacentral:rRNA from 1 species